UAAAAGUAUCAAGAAUGAAGAGAGAUUAUCAUCUUGUAACAUUUAUUUGUUUACUUACGAUUGUGAGUGCUGGUAGGGAGAUCAACUCACACAAUAAAUGUUUAUUUUUCAAGGGUACUUUUUUAAAUAAUAGAAUCUUGUCAAAUGUUGAUUUGGGUUACACGUAUAUUUCUUCAUGUCAAAGAACAAGUAACAGUGAUGGUGAUUGGGUAAAGAUCAUGUCGUCCUCAACUUGGUAUGAAAAGCCUGCAGGAAAUGGAAAUAUCUAUAUAUGUGUUGAACGUGUAGACAUUUGUUUGGGCCUAGACAUUAAUUGGGCUAAGUUGCGAAUUGAAGCCGUCGCAAAAAAGUUUAACGAAAAAGACAUCGCUCAACAAUGGAAACUUGAAAAUAAAAAAUUGACUAACGCUGAAAUGACUCCAUUAUUUUGUGCAGAAUUUCAAGAUAACUUGGUUAUGAGAAAAUGCAAGCUUAAUGAACCCAAUCAAAUAAUUGACUUUUUUACGGCGGUUUUGUAAUGAAAGUAUUUUGAAAAUUACGAUUCAAAACUUUUA
rnacentral:lncRNA from 1 species